rnacentral:rRNA from 1 species
UUAAGCGACUAAGCGUACACGGUGGAUGCCCUGGCAGUCAGAGGCGAUGAAGGACGUGCUAAUCUGCGAUAAGCGUCGGUAAGGUGAUAUGAACCGUUAUAACCGGCGAUUUCCGAAUGGGGAAACCCAGUGUGUUUCGACACACUAUCAUUAACUGAAUCCAUAGGUUAAUGAGGCGAACCGGGGGAACUGAAACAUCUAAGUACCCCGAGGAAAAGAAAUCAACCGAGAUUCCCCCAGUAGCGGCGAGCGAACGGGGAGCAGCCCAGAGCCUGAAUCAGUGUGUGUGUUAGUGGAAGCGUCUGGAAAGGCGCGCGAUACAGGGUGACAGCCCCGUACACAAAAAUGCACAUAUUGUGAGCUCGAUGAGUAGGGCGGGACACGUGGUAUCCUGUCUGAAUAUGGGGGGACCAUCCUCCAAGGCUAAAUACUCCUGACUGACCGAUAGUGAACCAGUACCGUGAGGGAAAGGCGAAAAGAACCCCGGCGAGGGGAGUGAAAAAGAACCUGAAACCGUGUACGUACAAGCAGUGGGAGCACGCUUAGGCGUGUGACUGCGUACCUUUUGUAUAAUGGGUCAGCGACUUAUAUUCUGUAGCAAGGUUAACCGAAUAGGGGAGCCGAAGGGAAACCGAGUCUUAACUGGGCGUUAAGUUGCAGGGUAUAGACCCGAAACCCGGUGAUCUAGCCAUGGGCAGGUUGAAGGUUGGGUAACACUAACUGGAGGACCGAACCGACUAAUGUUGAAAAAUUAGCGGAUGACUUGUGGCUGGGGGUGAAAGGCCAAUCAAACCGGGAGAUAGCUGGUUCUCCCCGAAAGCUAUUUAGGUAGCGCCUCGUGAAUUCAUCUCCGGGGGUAGAGCACUGUUUCGGCAAGGGGGUCAUCCCGACUUACCAACCCGAUGCAAACUGCGAAUACCGGAGAAUGUUAUCACGGGAGACACACGGCGGGUGCUAACGUCCGUCGUGAAGAGGGAAACAACCCAGACCGCCAGCUAAGGUCCCAAAGUCAUGGUUAAGUGGGAAACGAUGUGGGAAGGCCCAGACAGCCAGGAUGUUGGCUUAGAAGCAGCCAUCAUUUAAAGAAAGCGUAAUAGCUCACUGGUCGAGUCGGCCUGCGCGGAAGAUGUAACGGGGCUAAACCAUGCACCGAAGCUGCGGCAGCGACGCUUAUGCGUUGUUGGGUAGGGGAGCGUUCUGUAAGCCUGUGAAGGUGUGCUGUGAGGCAUGCUGGAGGUAUCAGAAGUGCGAAUGCUGACAUAAGUAACGAUAAAGCGGGUGAAAAGCCCGCUCGCCGGAAGACCAAGGGUUCCUGUCCAACGUUAAUCGGGGCAGGGUGAGUCGACCCCUAAGGCGAGGCCGAAAGGCGUAGUCGAUGGGAAACAGGUUAAUAUUCCUGUACUUGGUGUUACUGCGAAGGGGGGACGGAGAAGGCUAUGUUGGCCGGGCGACGGUUGUCCCGGUUUAAGCGUGUAGGCUGGUUUUCCAGGCAAAUCCGGAAAAUCAAGGCUGAGGCGUGAUGACGAGGCACUACGGUGCUGAAGCAACAAAUGCCCUGCUUCCAGGAAAAGCCUCUAAGCAUCAGGUAACAUCAAAUCGUACCCCAAACCGACACAGGUGGUCAGGUAGAGAAUACCAAGGCGCUUGAGAGAACUCGGGUGAAGGAACUAGGCAAAAUGGUGCCGUAACUUCGGGAGAAGGCACGCUGAUAUGUAGGUGAAGUCCCUUGCGGAUGGAGCUGAAAUCAGUCGAAGAUACCAGCUGGCUGCAACUGUUUAUUAAAAACACAGCACUGUGCAAACACGAAAGUGGACGUAUACGGUGUGACGCCUGCCCGGUGCCGGAAGGUUAAUUGAUGGGGUCAGCGCAAGCGAAGCUCUUGAUCGAAGCCCCGGUAAACGGCGGCCGUAACUAUAACGGUCCUAAGGUAGCGAAAUUCCUUGUCGGGUAAGUUCCGACCUGCACGAAUGGCGUAAUGAUGGCCAGGCUGUCUCCACCCGAGACUCAGUGAAAUUGAACUCGCUGUGAAGAUGCAGUGUACCCGCGGCAAGACGGAAAGACCCCGUGAACCUUUACUAUAGCUUGACACUGAACAUUGAGCCUUGAUGUGUAGGAUAGGUGGGAGGCUUUGAAGUGUGGACGCCAGUCUGCAUGGAGCCGACCUUGAAAUACCACCCUUUAAUGUUUGAUGUUCUAACGUUGACCCGUAAUCCGGGUUGCGGACAGUGUCUGGUGGGUAGUUUGACUGGGGCGGUCUCCUCCUAAAGAGUAACGGAGGAGCACGAAGGUUGGCUAAUCCUGGUCGGACAUCAGGAGGUUAGUGCAAUGGCAUAAGCCAGCUUGACUGCGAGCGUGACGGCGCGAGCAGGUGCGAAAGCAGGUCAUAGUGAUCCGGUGGUUCUGAAUGGAAGGGCCAUCGCUCAACGGAUAAAAGGUACUCCGGGGAUAACAGGCUGAUACCGCCCAAGAGUUCAUAUCGACGGCGGUGUUUGGCACCUCGAUGUCGGCUCAUCACAUCCUGGGGCUGAAGUAGGUCCCAAGGGUAUGGCUGUUCGCCAUUUAAAGUGGUACGCGAGCUGGGUUUAGAACGUCGUGAGACAGUUCGGUCCCUAUCUGCCGUGGGCGCUGGAGAACUGAGGGGGGCUGCUCCUAGUACGAGAGGACCGGAGUGGACGCAUCACUGGUGUUCGGGUUGUCAUGCCAAUGGCACUGCCCGGUAGCUAAAUGCGGAAGAGAUAAGUGCUGAAAGCAUCUAAGCACGAAACUUGCCCCGAGAUGAGUUCUCCCUGACUCCUUGAGAGUCCUGAAGGAACGUUGAAGACGACGACGUUGAUAGGCCGGGUGUGUAAGCGCAGCGAUGCGUUGAGCUAACCGGUACUAAUGAACCGUGAGGCUUAACCUU